UACAGAGGGGGCAAGCGUUGUUCGGAAUUACUGGGCGUAAAGGGCGCGUAGGCGGCCUUCUAAGUCGAACGUGAAAUCCCCGGGCUCAACCCGGGAACUGCGUCCGAGACUGGAAGGCUCGAAUCCGGGAGAGGGAUGUGGAAUUCCAGGUGUAGCGGUGAAAUGCGUAGAUAUCUGGAGGAACACCGGUGGCGAAGGCGGCUCACUGGAUCGAAUCUGACGCUGAGGUGCGAAAGCUAGGGUAGCAAACGGG
rnacentral:rRNA from 1 species